rnacentral:rRNA from 1 species
UACGAAGAGUUCGAGCGUUAUUCGUUUUGAUUGGGUGUAAAGGGUACGUAGGCGGCCUUCAGUUUUUUUGGCCUAAAUUGCGGAGUGUUCCUACGCAGUCGGCCUAUGAAGAAGAAGAGCUAGUGUUGCGGAUAGGUCGAGCCAAAUCUGUGUGUAGGGGUAGAAUCCAGCCAUCUACGGAUGAAGGCCAGCCGGCGAAGGCGCUUUUCCAGCCGCAACAGACGCUAAGGUACGGAAGCUUAGGUAGCAAACGGG